CAGCAGUUAAUAGGAGCAGUAAGGAUUUUUCAAAAGCAAAAGUUACCAGGUGUUUUGGUUGUUGUUUGGUUUUGUUGGUGGUUGGAGCUUUGAGGUACAAAGAGGAUUGCCAUUCCCUCAGUAUUACCAUGAAAUUAAAGUCAAAUGCAGAGGAGAUCUAGCUGCAUACUAGAGACCCAAAGAAUCCAGCUGAGGCCCUGGAUCCCACAGAAGUAUCCAGCACAAGUCCAGCUGAAGAUCUAGAGCACAAGGCAGCAUCCUCCAUGAGUCCAGCCAGUGGCCUGGAGCCCACGGCAGUGUCUCAUGCUUGUCCAUAUCAAGGAUCUGCACCCAGAAGGCCCAAAGGCCAAUGGUGGAAGCCAGAAAACCUGUGCCAGUGGGGUGAAGGAUUUGUGCCACCAAGCUGAGGGAUCCACAUUGGAGCCAGGAAGUGACUCUCAUGGUGAAGAUCAGAGCUCCUCUGACGAGAACAGCAGCCACUCCCAGUGACAGCAAGACUGGAGCUCCUCCUCUGGUGAGAACAGCCAAGUUCUCAUCAGGAAAACCAGCCACAGCAGGCCUCUCCUAGAAAAUCAACAGCCCAUGAUGAGCUUCCCCUCCAGGUCUCUUUUUAUGCCAUUGACAGCAAUCCUCAGGUAAUUAUUGUUCAGCAGUAAGGAGCCAUACUAUCC
rnacentral:lncRNA from 1 species